CCUACGGGAGGCAGCAGUGAGGAAUAUUGGUCAAUGGGCGGGAGCCUGAACCAGCCAAGCCGCGUGAGGGAAGAAGGUACAGCGUAUCGUAAACCUCUUUUGUCAGGGAACAAAGGCGGGGACUAGUCCCCGGAUGAGGGUACCUGAAGAAAAAGCAUCGGCUAACUCCGUGCCAGCAGCCGCGGUAAUACGGAGUAUGCGAGCGUUAUCCGGAGUUAUUGGGUUGAAGGGGUGCGCAGGCGGCCUGUUAAGUCAGCGGGAAAAGCCCGGGGCUCAACCCCGGCGAGCCGUUGAAACUGGCGGGCUGGAGUUGGAGAGAAGUACGCGGAAUGCGCGGUGUAGCGGUGAAAUGCUUAGAUAUCGCGCAGAACCCCGAUUGCGAAGGCAGCGUACCGGCUCCACACUGACGCUGAGGCACGAAAGCGUGGGUAUCGAACAGGAUUAGAUACCCUUGUAGUC
rnacentral:rRNA from 1 species